rnacentral:rRNA from 1 species
AGUGAACGCUGGCGGUAGGCCUAACACAUGCAAGUCGAACGGCAGCACAGUAAGAGCUUGCUCUUACGGGUGGCGAGUGGCGGACGGGUGAGGAAUACAUCGGAAUCUACUUUUUCGUGGGGGAUAACGUAGGGAAACUUACGCUAAUACCGCAUACGACCUACGGGUGAAAGCAGGGGAUCUUCGGACCUUGCGCGAUUGAAUGAGCCGAUGUCGGAUUAGCUAGUUGGCGGGGUAAAGGCCCACCAAGGCGACGAUCCGUAGCUGGUCUGAGAGGAUGAUCAGCCACACUGGAACUGAGACACGGUCCAGACUCCUACGGGAGGCAGCAGUGGGGAAUAUUGGACAAUGGGCGCAAGCCUGAUCCAGCCAUACCGCGUGAGUGAAGAAGGCCUUCGGGUUGUAAAGCCCCUUUGUUGGGAAAGAAAAGCAGCAGGUUAAUACCCCGCUGUUCUGACGGUACCCAAAGAAUAAGCACCGGCUAACUUCGUG